ACCCAAGUCUUAUUUUGUUCUCUUCUUCUACACAAGGCAUAUAAAUUUAAGAAAAGCAGCUUAGCAUCUUAAAUGUAUUCCCUUAAAUGACUAAACAACAGCAUUUUCAAAUCUACCCAUGAGAUCACUGCAAUUAAUUCACUACUUUCUCUAAUCCUAAACAAUUCUAAUAAAACAUACACACAUAAAAACAUCCUCCUUACUAAAUUCAAAUCAAAAAGUUAAAAAUUCACAUAGAAAUUCAGAAUCAGUAUUACAAAUAUGAAUACAUUUAAAUACACUAAUACGUAGAAAUUCAUAUAAAGAAAAAGAAAUUCAUAAAAAAAAAAAUCUUAAAUUUACAACCAAAAAAAAUCAAGCUAGGUUACAUGAUAUGUUUUAACUAUACAAUUACAUAUAUCUAGAGAGAGGAUUAUUGUACUCCAUUUCUCCAAGAAUCAUCAGGAAUUUGAAUUCGAUCAGCUUCGGUAGAGAGCCCGUGAAACUUCAACAGACAAUUGAUUCUAACGGCCGUUCAAUUUGUUCUGAAUUCUCACCGGAAUUUUGUUAAAUUAGAAGUAAUAAACGCUUUUCAUCCCUAAUAGUUUCAUUCAACUGACACUUUGGUCCCUGAUCUUCUUUAUUAUGCUGUAU
rnacentral:lncRNA from 1 species